GGGCAAUGGCGGGCGCCCCUCCCCCAGCCUCGCUGCCGCCUUGCAGUUUGAUCUCAGACUGCUGUGCUAGCAAUCCGCGAGACUCCGUGGGGUAGGACCCUCCGAGCCAGGUGCGGCAUAUAAUCUCGUGGUGCGCCGUUUUUUAAGCCCGUGGGGAAAGCGCAGUGUUCUGGUGGGAGUGACCCGAUUUUCCAGGUGCCGUCCGUCACCCCUUUCUUUGACUAGGAAAGGGAACUCCCUGACCCUUGCUCUUCCCGAGUGAGGCAAUGCCUCGCCCUGCUUCGGCUCGCGCAGGGUGCGCGCACCCACUGACCUGCGCCCACUGUCUGGCACUCCCUAGUGAGAUGAACCCGGUACCUCAGAUGGAAAUGCAGAAAUCAACCAUCUUCUGUGUCGCUCACGCUGGGAGCUGUAGACCGGAGCUGUUCCUAUUUGGCCAUCUUGGCUCCUUCCUCAUCCUUAUUCAAUUCUUGAACGGUUCCACACAAAAAUAACUGAAGAUGGGCCUCCAGUCUUACGACGCCACAAAGUGCCCUGACACCACUGAACACGAAAACUCAUUGCAGAGGAAGCCCUGGAGCCUGGAGAAAGGAGCUGCCCUUCCCGAGAAGGAAUGAUGUUUGCACCUUGCCUGGAGACACUGUGGUACCUCUUGCUACAAUAAACCAUGUGUCUUCCUCAGCUUCAACCUCCACUUCUCUUGGCCACUAGGCUGAUGGGGAUGAUGUUACUUAUCCAGCAGAAAUAUGGGGGGCCUGAUAAAGAAGGAAAAGGAGGUGCAGGAGCAUCCCAAAGGCACAUGACCCAGCCAGAAUAUCCAACUUGAGAUGGGGAAG
rnacentral:lncRNA from 10 species